UACGGAGGGUGCGAGCGUUAAUCGGAAUUACUGGGCGUAAAGCGCGCGUAGGCGGUUUGCUAAGCGAGAUGUGAAAUCCCCGGGCUUAACCUGGGAACUGCAUUUCGAACUGGCAAGCUAGAGUGUAGAAGAGGGGUGUGGAAUUUCCGGUGUAGCGGUGAAAUGCGUAGAGAUCGGAAGGAACACCAGUGGCGAAGGCGACACCCUGGUCUAACACUGACGCUGAGGUGCGAAAGCGUGGGUAGCAAACAGG
rnacentral:misc_RNA from 1 species